GCCAGAUACAGAAAGACAAAUAUCACAUAUUCUCACCCAUAUGUGGGAGAUUACAAAAAGAAGUUGAUCUCCUAGAGUGAUUCUGAUAAAUGCCCCAUACAAAUGUCCUUCUAUUCCUCAGUAAAAUUUAAGUGAUUUCUGCAAGAAAAAAUAUUCAGCAACAGCAAAUCAACUAAAGCCAUCGCUCUAAGAACUAGAGAAACAGCAUAAAGGAAACAAACAAAAGGGAAAACAACAUCAUCAAAAAACAAACUUUCUGCCAUUGAGAAGUUCCGGAGGGAAAUUCACACAUUUAGCUAUUUGCUUUUGAGCUACUCCGGGAGAGGAGCAGAGUCGGUUUGAGUUGCAUGACUGACAUCUUCUGGCUACAGUGGAUAUUACAGAAAGACUGAAACUCCGCAAAAGUGUGUUUGAAAAAAAGAAAAGCACCCUGGAAUUUGGAUCAUUAAGUUAUACUGAUUCUUCAACUAAAACUUUCUUGGGACUUGUAAUACGAAGUAUCGUAAACAAGGUCAUGCACCACUAAUAAAAGAAAUAUUAUUCGCUUAUUACUCAGAAUGCCUUGGGCUGUCUUUCUGCAUGCAAUCCACUUAAUAAGUAACCCAAUAGCAGACAAGUUCAGGAGAAGGUGCAGGCCUGUCCAGCCAGCAGAGGAAGAGUCAGCUGCCUCCACGACUACACUCCAAAUGGACAUAUUUCAUAUUCUCCCCAUACAGACUGCAUGGCUUGGGUCUACCUGGAAACACCUUAGAAUAGAGAUCUCCCCUCCAUUCCUGGGUUCCUUGGAAACAUGAAGCUACACUCACCACCAACCAUCUGUUCCCAUGUUAAAUAUAAAAUGGAGAAGAAAUUGUCUAUUUUGAAGGGAAGAGAGAGCCAUCAUCUUUUACAAGUGCCAGAGGUAGUUUUGCUUAGUGCUUCCAAGUCCUUUGUAGGCUGAGCACUGAAGUGAAGAGGAUAUGGGCAGGAGCUGCCUAAGAAGAGGAGAUGAAAGAAAGCAGAAGUCCACUAGUGAGGUCUCUAUAAUGCCUCGGUAUCUCCUGCCACAAUCCACAGGCUGCCCUGGGCUCUGGGUCAUC
rnacentral:lncRNA from 1 species